GACGAACGCUGGCGGCGUGCUUAACACAUGCAAGUCGAACGAAGUGGCGAACGGGUGAGUAACGCGUAAUCAACCUGCCCUUCAGAGGGGGACAACAGUUGGAAACGACUGCUAAUACCGCAUACUGUAUGUGGCGAGUGCGUCUGAUUAGCUAGUUGGGGGGGGAACGGCCCACCAAGCCUAUGAUCAGUAGCCGGGGUGGGAGGAUGAACGGCCAACAUGGGACUGGUACACGGCCCAGACUCCUACGGGAGGCAGCAGUGGGGAAUCUUCCGCAAUGGACGAAAGUCUGACGGAGGAACGCCGGGUGAGUGAUGACGGCCUUCGGGUUGUAAAGCUCUGUUAAUCGGGACGCGGUAACGGAAGAGAAAGCCACGGCUAACUACGUGCCAGCAGCCGCGGUAAUUG
rnacentral:rRNA from 1 species